AAGGGUGCGUAGGCGGCCUGUUAAGUCAGGGGUGAAAGACGGUAGCUCAACUAUCGCAGUGCCCUUGAUACUGAUGGGCUUGAAUUGACUAGAGGUAGGCGGAAUGUGACAAGUAGCGGUGAAAUGCAUAGAUAUGUCACAGAACACCGAUUGCGAAGGCAGCUUACUAUGGUCUUAUUGACGCUGAGGCACGAAAGCGUGGGGAUCAAACAGGAUUAGAUACCCGUAGU
rnacentral:rRNA from 1 species